GUGCUUGCUUCAGCAGCACAGAUACUGGCAUUGGGAGCGUACAGAGAUUAGCAUAGUCCUGCUCAAGGAAGACAUGCAAAUUUGUAAAGCGUUCCGUUUUUUU
ensembl:snRNA LOC120096762 U6 spliceosomal RNA